AUUGAACGCUGGCGGCAGGCCUAACACAUGCAAGUCGAGCGGAUGAAGGGAGCUUGCUCCUGGAUUCAGCGGCGGACGGGUGAGUAAUGCCUAGGAAUCUGCCUGGUAGUGGGGGAUAACGUCCGGAAACGGGCGCUAAUACCGCAUACGUCCUGAGGGAGAAAGUGGGGGAUCUUCGGACCUCACGCUAUCAGAUGAGCCUAGGUCGGAUUAGCUAGUUGGUGGGGUAAAGGCCUACCAAGGCGACGAUCCGUAACUGGUCUGAGAGGAUGAUCAGUCACACUGGAACUGAGACACGGUCCAGACUCCUACGGGAGGUCGCAGUGGGGAAUGUUGGACUAUAGGCGAAAGCCUUAUCCAGCCAUGACGCGUGUGUCAAGACGAUCUUCGGAUUGUUAAGACCUUUAAGUUGGGAGGAAGGGCAGUAAGUUAAUACCUUGCUGUUUUGACGUUACCAACAGAAUAAGCACCGGCUAACUUCGUG
rnacentral:rRNA from 1 species